rnacentral:rRNA from 1 species
UACGUAGGGGGCAAGCGUUGUCCGGAUUCAUUGGGCGUAAAGCGCGCGUAGGCGGCCCGGUAAGUCCGUUGUGAAAGUCAGGGGCUCAACCCUUGAAAGCCGGCCGAUACUGUCGGACUAGAGUCCGGAAGAGGCAAGUGGAAUUCCCGGUGUAGCGGUGAAAUGCGCAGAUAUCAGGAGGAACACCGGUGGCGAAGGCGGAUCUCUGGGCCUUACCUGACGCUGAGGCGCGAAAGCUAGGGGAGCGAACAGG